rnacentral:tRNA from 1 species
GGGCCGGUAGUCUAGCAUGGUUAGGACGCUGCCUUGACGCGGCAGAGGUCUCCGGUUCAAGUCCGGACCGGCCCA